GUCGCCAAACCGUACGGACACGCAUAUUUAGUAAAAACAUCAUCGAGCAGAUUCAUAAAAUAUUCGGAGAAACGAGUGACGGUGACCGAGGUCUCGCUGCCAAGCAGAAUUUUCCACCGAGGAGGGAUUUGUACCAGUGACGACGACAAGGAGUUGUAGCUCUUCGAGGGAGUUCAUUAACGUC